rnacentral:tRNA from 1 species
UUAAUUGAAACCAAAAUAGAGGUAUAUCACUGUUAAUGAUUAUAAUUGGGA